rnacentral:siRNA from 1 species
UUCCGAUGUUUCAGAGUUUGC